GGCAGAAUAGGUCAGUUGGUUUAAGAGCAUCUCACAUGAUAUGAGAAGGUCCCGGGUUCAAUCCCCAGUUCAGCCA